AAAUAUGUUUUCUAAGUGUCUAGUGAUGAGUUUCAUAGGGCAGAUUCUGAGGUGAAAUUUAAUUCAUCAUUGAUCGUCCUAUUAUGAAAUCUGAAGACACUUGAAAACCU
ensembl:snoRNA Snord90 small nucleolar RNA, C/D box 90